ACCUAAUUUUGUACUAGAAAUACCGCUCUGUCAUCUUUGGCCGAAGCUCAAAAUAGUAUCGCACAUGCAGGGUUGAUAGGAUGUGAAAUGUUCUAACACAGGAGUUGUAGUGGUGAAAUUUUAUCUCAUUUCAAUAUGCACAUUUUUGUCUCGCUAUCCCCUUGGUUAGAGUCUAUUGAAGAGCCAAACUACUGGAGACGGGGGUUUCCUAUCGUUGCCCCCCAUCGCCCCACACAUCCACACAGAGUAGCUCCUCCCAAGCUCGAUGACCUUGUUGUCAAGCCAUCAAGAUACUAUUUUGUGGGAAGUUGAUAGCGUUUGUACAUGAUUUUUUCCUAUGUGGAUGGGCAUGCCCUCAAAUUACUUGCAUGUCAUAGCGGAUCUAUUACUGAUUCUGCAUGAUUAUACAAAUCUGAUUUCAUACAUAAACAAUUGUACUGGAUCUGUAAUGAAUUAUGUAAAUGUAUGUUAACCGACUGAAUGCUAUAAGAGUGGCGUAUUUUUAAUAACAAUGUCAUGGAUAUAGGUUCUGGGGUAAUAAGAAAUUACACAUCUCAUAAGUUAUUUGGAAGUCUCCUAGUUCCAUCGUUGACCCCGAAUACAACCACCAUGAAGUGGAAGCGGUAGGAACAACAGGAGGGGCAGGAUCUGCAGGAGUUGCAGCAUAAGGGCAACAUAAGGGGAAGUUGUUAUUGCAGGAGCUACAAAGGCAACAUGAAUGUCAGGAGUUGUGGCUGGAGUAGCAUGAGUGGAAACAAUAGUAACUACAGUGGUAUAUGCAAUGCAUAGAGUUGUAAUUGAAGUGAAAAUAGUUGUAGCUGUCAUUGUACCGGCAGUAGGAGCACUGACAAUUACAAUGACAAAAACAGUGGGAUUAGUUGGACCAGUGACAAUAGCAAUAUGAGGGGCAACGACAUUAGUAAUGACAACUAUUUAUACUGAACUUUUUAACUUCAUUGUAACUAAUCUUAUGAUUGAAACCAUGUCAUAUGUGUUAUUUGUACUUCCUUUUCAAGUAUGACUAGUAUACUAAUAACGUAAACUAUUAAUAGAAAUAUUUGUAUGCAACUUGAAUAUUUGUCAUUGCAAACACAUUUUGUUGUGUUCAAAUGUAAAUGUAUUUUUGUAGUUUUAUUUUAUUUAUUUUCAUAGAUAUUCCUUUUUAUUUUUGCAUUUGUUUUACCUUAGAUCCAAGGAAACCAAAAUCGCCACAUUAUUUAUGCCUAUUGGUGUAUUAUAAUGUAUGUAUAUGCGUCCUUGUUCAUAUUAUCCUUCAAC
rnacentral:lncRNA from 1 species